rnacentral:misc_RNA from 1 species
AUGAAGAACGUAGCGAAAUGCGAUAAGUAGUGUGAAUUGCAGAAUUCAGUGAAUCAUCGAAUCUUUGAACGCACAUUGCGCCCCUUGGUAUUCCAUGGGGCAUGCCUGUUCGAGCGUCAUUUGUACCUUCAAGCUUUGCUUGGUGUUGGGUGUUUGUCCCUCGGGACUCGCCUUAAAGUCAUUGGCAGCCAGUGUUUUGGUUUUGAAGCGCAGCACAAGUCGCGAUUCAAGGCUAUCCGCCCGCUUCCACAAGCCUUUUUCACUUUUGACCUCGGAUCAGGUAGGGAUACCCGCUGAACUUAAGCAUAUCAAUAAGCGGAGGA